rnacentral:rRNA from 1 species
GUGCCAGCAGCCGCGGUAAUUCCAGUCUCCAAAAGCGUAUAUUAAAGUUGUUGUGGUUAAAAAGCUCGUAGUUGAACCUUGGGCCUGGCUGGCCGGUCCGCCUCACCGCGUGCACUGGUCCGGCCGGGCCUUUCCCUCUGUGGAACCCCACACCCUUCACUGGGCGUGGCGGGGAAACAGGACAUUUACUUUGAAAAAAUUAGAGUGCUCCAGGCAGGCCUAUGCUCGAAUACAUUAGCAUGGAAUAAUAAAAUAGGACGCGCGGUUCUAUUUUGUUGGUUUAUAGGACCGCCGUAAUGAUUAAUAGGGACAGUCGGGGGCAUCAGUAUUCAACUGUCAGAGGUGAAAUUCUUGGAUCAGUUGAAGACUAACUACUGCGAAAGCAUUUGCCAAGGAUGUUUUCAUUAAUCAGGAACGAAAGUUAGGGGAUCGAAGACGAUCAGAUACCGUCGUAGUCUUAACCAUAAACUAUGCCGACUAGGGAUCGGACGGUGUUAUUCAUGACCCGUUCGGCACCUUACGAGAAAUCAAAGUGCUUGGGCUCCCAGGGGGAGUAUGGUCGCAAGGCUGAAACUUAAAGAAAUUGACGGAAGGGCACCACCAGGGGUGGAGCCUGCGGCUUAAAUUUGACUCAACACGGGGGAAACUCACCAGGUUCGAGACACAAUAAGGAUUGACAGAUUGAGAGCUCUUUUCUUUGAUUUUGUGGGUGGUGGUGCAUGGCCGUUCUUAGUUGGGUGGGUGACUUUGUCUGCUUAAAUGGCGAUAACCGAACGAGACUUUAACCUGCUAAAUAGCCGCAUGCUUCGGCAAGGCGCUGGGCUUUCUUAGAGGG